UACAGAGGGUGCGAGCGUUAAUCGGAGUUACUGGGCGUAAGGGGCGCGUAGGCGGUUAUGUGAGUGUGAUGUGAAAGCCCUGGGCUUAACCUAGGAAGUGCAUCGCAAACGACAUGACUGGAGUAUAAGAGAGGGUGAUGGAAUUUCCGGUGUAGUAGUGAAAUACGUAGAGAUCGGAAGGAACGUCGAUGGCGAAGGCAGUCACCUGGCUUAAUACUGACGCUGAGGCGCGAAAGCGUGGGGAGCAAACAGG
rnacentral:rRNA from 1 species